AGUGAACGCUGGCGGUAGGCCUAACACAUGCAAGUCGAACGGCAGCACAGUAAGAGCUUGCUCUUACGGGUGGCGAGUGGCGGACGGGUGAGGAAUACAUCGGAAUCUACUUUUUCGUGGGGGAUAACGUAGGGAAACUUACGCUAAUACCGCAUACGACCUACGGGUGAAAGCAGGGGAUCUUCGGACCUUGCGCGAUUGAAUGAGCCGAUGUCGGAUUAGCUAGUUGGCGGGGUAAAGGCCCACCAAGGCGACGAUCCGUAGCUGGCCUGAGAGGAUGAUCAGCCACACUGGAACUGAGACACGGUCCAGACUCCUACGGGAGGCAGCAGUGGGGAAUAUUGGACAAUGGGCGCAAGCCUGAUCCAGCCACACCGCGUGGGUGAAGAAGGCCUUCGGGUUGUAAAGCCCUUUUGUUGGGAAAGAAAAGCAGCAGGUUAAUACCCCGCUGUUCUGACGGUACCCAAAGAAUAAGCACCGGCUAACUUCGUG
rnacentral:rRNA from 1 species